AUCAAUAAGCGGAGGAGAAGAAACUAACCAGGAUUCCCCCAGUAACGGCGAGCGAAGCGGGAACAGCUCGAGCAGGCAAUCUCUGGUGUCGAUCGCCAGCGAAUUGUGGCCGGUAGAGGCGGAUGCACCUGACGCGACUCCGUCGAAGUUGACCUGGAAAGGCACGUCGGAGAGGGUGAUAGCCCCGUGCGUGGCGGAGUCGCCGAUGGCCGCUACCGUCUUCCGAGAGUCGGGUUGUUUGGGAGUGCAGCCCAAAGUGGGUGGUAAACUCCAUCUAAAGCCAAAUAGCGGCACGAGACCGAUAGCGAACAAGUACCAUGAGGGAAAGGUGAAAAGCACUUUGGAAAGAGAGUUAAAGAGGCCGCGAAACCGUUGGGAGGGAAACGCAUGCAGCCGGACCGGCCCGCGUCGAGUUCACGGGGCUGCCGUCGGUCGCGUUCGCCGUCGACACCGAAAGGGUCGGCGGUGGGCUCGGGCUCUCGGCACCCCUGCACUCUCGGCGCUACGGGCCGGCCAAGCGCGGCGGGAUCCGGGCGACGAGCUCGGUCGGGCAGGUAGCGCAGCCGCCUGGCGGAGGCGAACUUAUAGCCGGCCGAGCGGAGCGUCCGGGACCCGCCGAGGAGAGCGGUGGCACUUCCACCCAAGCAGCGCAGGCCGCUCGUCGGCAGGGGCUCUCUGGCUCGUUGGCGAGCCGCUCCGCGUCACUGCGUGCAGUGGCCGGGGACGGUCCGCCUCCGGGUCGGGGGUAGCUCACUCCUUGCGCUCGGGCCGCUUGGCCUGACGUCGGCUGCAUCCGA
rnacentral:rRNA from 1 species